UCGAGCGAAUCGAUGGGAGCUUGCUCCCUGAGAUUAGCGGCGGACGGGUGAGUAACACGUGGGCAACCUGCCUAUAAGACUGGGAUAACUUCGGGAAACCGGAGCUAAUACCGGAUACGUUCUUUUCUCGCAUGAGAGAAGAUGGAAAGACGGUUUACGCUGUCACUUAUAGAUGGGCCCGCGGCGCAUUAGCUAGUUGGUGAGGUAAUGGCUCACCAAGGCGACGAUGCGUAGCCGACCUGAGAGGGUGAUCGGCCACACUGGGACUGAGACACGGCCCAGACUCCUACGGGAGGCAGCAGUAGGGAAUCUUCCGCAAUGGACGAAAGUCUGACGGAGCAACGCCGCGUGAACGAAGAAGGCCUUCGGGUCGUAAAGUUCUGUUGUUAGGGAAGAACAAGUACCAGAGUAACUGCUGGUACCUUGACGGUACCUAACCAGAAAGCCACGGCUAACUACGUGCCAGCAGCCGCGGUAAUACGUAGGUGGCAAGCGUUGUCCGGAAUUAUUGGGCGUAAAGCGCGCGCAGGUGGUUCCUUAAGUCUGAUGUGAAAGCCCACGGCUCAACCGUGGAGGGUCAUUGGAAACUGGGGAACUUGAGUGCAGAAGAGGAAAGUGGAAUUCCAAGUGUAGCGGUGAAAUGCGUAGAG
rnacentral:rRNA from 2 species